ACAUGCCUACAACAUAGCGUUAAUGCACCAGAUCCCAUUAGAACUUCAUUGUUAAGAACGCUCAGGCUAGAGUAGUAUUGGGAUGGGUGUCCUCCUGAUAAGUCCUAGUGUUUAACAUGCC
rnacentral:rRNA from 1 species